UACGAAGGGGCUAGCGUUGUUCGGAAUUACUGGGCGUAAAGCGCGCGUAGGCGGUGAUCUAUGUCAGAGGUGAAAGCCCGGGCUCAACUCCGGAAUUGCCUUUGAAACGGGAUCGCUAGAGUCCGAGAGAGGAUGGCGGAAUUCCUAGUGUAGAGGUGAAAUUCGUAGAUAUUAGGAAGAACACCGGUGGCGAAGGCGGCCAUCUGGCUCGGUACUGACGCUCAGGCGCGAAAGCGUGGGAGCAACA
rnacentral:rRNA from 1 species